GACGAACGCUGGCGGCGUGCUUAACACAUGCAAGUCGAACGAAGAGCGAUGGACGCUUGCUUCUAUCACUCUUAGUGGCGAACGGGUGAGUAACGCGUAAUCAACCUGCCCUUCAGAGGGGGACAACAGUUGGAAACGACUGCUAAUACCGCAUACGAUCCGACCUCGGCAUCGAGGAUGGAUGAAAGGUGGCCUCUAUUUAUAAGCUAUCACUGAAGGAGGGGAUUGCGUCUGAUUAGCUAGUUGGAGGGGUAACGGCCCACCAAGGCAAUGAUCAGUAGCCGGUCUGAGAGGAUGAACGGCCACAUUGGGACUGAGACACGGCCCAGACUCCUACGGGAGGCAGCAGUGGGGAAUCUUCCGCAAUGGACGAAAGUCUGACGGAGCAACGCCGCGUGAGUGAUGACGGCCUUCGGGUUGGAAAGCUCUGUUAAUCGGGACGAAAGGCCUUCUUGCGAAUAGUUAGAAGAAUUGACGGUACCGGAAUAGAAAGCCACGGCUAACUACGUG
rnacentral:rRNA from 1 species